rnacentral:lncRNA from 1 species
CAAAAACUUGGAACAGCUACCACAAAGCGAACGCCUAUCUGUUUGGAAUUUCGCAAAUAAGGAACGUUUAAAUGACGUAGUUCACAUCCUUUGAGUGCUGGCUUUCUCUUAAAGGGUGUGUGCGUGCGCCCAGGUGGUUUGGCCUGUGUGCGCUAGUUACUUGCACGCGCUUCUUGAGUCUCAAAACACAGAGCUCUAGUAAACUUCAGGGGGCGGAUUCGUCAAUUACAGUUGCGGAAGAAGACUCGACUCGAAGAGCGGUCCGCCACCAGGGCUCUUGCCGCAGCGCCCCCAGCGGGCGGGGGUCUUGGGCGGGGAAGCAGCAGAGGGCCGACCGAGCGCAACAAAGCUGAGCGGCGCGUCGCUUCAGGAACGAAGAAGCCUCGUUAUGCAAGCGAAAAACAAAGAUCCUUUGCAGCCUAUUAAGGAAGAUAGGACUGGGAAGGCCCAGGAUGAUGCUUUCUGGCUUCAAUCACUUAUUACGG